AUAUCAGUUAUAAAUUCUCAAUUGCAAUGUUGGAGAAAUUAGCAUGGCCCUCACACAAAGAUGAUAUGCAAAUUUGUGACGUGUUUCAUGUUUUU
rnacentral:snRNA from 1 species